UGCAGAGGUUGACACUUGUCAUUUUGAUGUGACAAACCACAGAGUAUCCACAGCACAGGGAUGAUUAAGUGCUUUGAGGAAAGUUGAGCCCAUCUGGAAAUUAUCAAAAGCUGCUGGUGAAAUGGUAUAAGGGGAGUCAGAAAUAACUGCCCAAGGGAUGGGAAACCUGCUCUGUAUUAGGAGCAGCUAAACUACCCAAAAAAAUCCACGGAGGAUUACUUUGACAAGAAUCUUUUCUUUCUUUCUUUCUUUUUUUUGCUUAAAAGAAGUACACACAAUCUUCUAUUCACCCAGUUUUUAACUAAGAAGGAGGAGUAGAGAAGAAAGAAUAUUGUCUUGGAAGACAUUAGCUCCAGUCUCCAGCUCUGCCACUGACCUUCCAUAUGACCUUGGAAUCUUGAGAAAUCACUAAGGUCUGCGCCUUGGGCACAGACAUCACCCGGAGGGGCAUUCUCCACUCAAUUGGCCUGCUCAGCUCAGCUCCUGGACACUGCAGGAAGAAAGAACCACACAGGAGACCAUUCACUGCCCUGACGGCCACCUUGUCUAUGAGUAAUAUUGAAGGUUCAACGUCCUCCCACAUUAGUAAAGCCGACAGGUCAGCAGUCUGUGAUGGGCUGUGGCUUCAAUGCUCUCGUCUGAAGCCCAGGGAUCCAAGAUCCUGUCUCUGACUUCAGAUGAAACAGGAUAAUUUUGGAGAGUCCCUAUGACAUUUGCAAAGUGUAAAGUAUCAGACUUUUUCUUCUAGGUCUCUGCCAAAUAAUACUUCAAACUAAAACUCCUUGCCUACAGACUUGCUUCAGCAAGCCACGCAUUUUAGAAACUGCAGUGUUGCUGUGUCUGGAACUGGCCAAAGGCUUGCAGGACCCCGUGUGGCGGACCCCUGAGCUUCAUCACCCCCGUGUCUCACUCCUUCUAGGAUGCUGCUGCCAGGUUGCUUCCAUGUCAGACUGUGGGGGCAACAGGACCCCAUACAGAGGGACAGCAUGAACCCCAUCCAUGGAUGGAACAACCUAAAUUUAACUCGAGAUAAUAGAAAAUCCUUGUCCGCUGAAUGAUCCAAGUGGACGGUACAUUCUUUCCACCGAGGAAACAGCAUUAGUCCUUUGGGGCUGAGAGAGGCUGACAGGGAGAGCCUUGGCGGUAGGGGGAAAGGAGGAGGGGAAGAAUUCUAAGUGGGCUUGGGCAGCUAUUCCAUCCGUCUCUCAAGCUGUUGCCCUUUGAGAUUCCCUUGAACUCAAGUAAACCAUAAAUCCCAAUGAAGGGUUUCCACUGAUUGUAAUUAUCCAGGCUUGCUGACCUGAAAAUGCCCCUUGACUCCUCACUUUGCCUUCCACAGAUCUGACCAUGUCAUUCCCUUACUCAAAAUACAGAAUGUUUCUAUUCUGAAUAAACAUACAGAAUUCUCACCCUGGCACU